GUGGUUGUAGCUCAGUUGGCAGAGCAUCGGAUUGUGGUUCCGAGGGUCGCCGGUUCAAGCCCGGUCUGCCACCCCA
rnacentral:tRNA from 1 species